rnacentral:rRNA from 1 species
CAGUACCGUGAGGGAAAGGUGAAAAGCACCCCGGAAGGGGAGUGAAAGAGAUCCUGAAACCGUGUGCCUACAAAUAGUCAGAGCCCGUUAAUGGGUGAUGGCGUGCCUUUUGUAGAAUGAACCGGCGAGUUACGAUCCCGUGCGAGGUUAAGCUGAAGAGGCGGAGCCGCAGCGAAAGCGAGUCUGAAUAGGGCGUUUAGUACGUGGUCGUAGACCCGAAACCAGGUGAUCUACCCAUGUCCAGGGUGAAGUUCAGGUAACACUGAAUGGAGGCCCGAACCCACGCACGUUGAAAAGUGCGGGGAUGAGGUGUGGGUAGCGGAGAAAUUCCAAUCGAACCUGGAGAUAGCUGGUUCUCCCCGAAAUAGCUUUAGGGCUAGCCUUAAGUGUAAGAGUCUUGGAGGUAGAGCACUGAUUGAACUAGGGGUCCUCAUCGGAUUACCGAAUUCAGUCAAACUCCGAAUGCCAAUGACUUAUCCUUAGGAGUCAGACUGCGAGUGAUAAGAUCCGUAGUCAAGAGGGAAACAGCCCAGAUCGCCAGCUAAGGUCCCAAAGUGUGUAUUAAGUGGAAAAGGAUGUGGAGUUGCUUAGACAACUAGGAUGUUGGCUUAGAAGCAGCCACCAUUUAAAGAGUGCGUAAUAGCUCACUAGUCGAGUGACUCUGCGCCGAAAAUGUACCGGGGCUAAAUACACCACCGAAGCUGCGAAUUGAUACCAAUGGUAUCAGUGGUAGGGGAGCGUUCUAAGUGCAGUGAAGUCAGACCGGAAGGACUGGUGGAGCGCUUAGAAGUGAGAAUGCCGGUAUGAGUAGCGAAAGACGGGUGAGAAUCCCGUCCACCGAAUGCCUAAGGUUUCCUGAGGAAGGCUCGUCCGCUCAGGGUUAGUCAGGACCUAAGCCGAGGCCGACAGGCGUAGGCGAUGGACAACAGGUUGAUAUUCCUGUACCACCUCUUUAUCGUUUGAGCAAUGGAGGGACGCAGAAGGAUAGAAGAAGCGUGCGAUUGGUUGUGCACGUCCAAGCAGUUAGGCUGAUAAGUAGGCAAAUCCGCUUAUCGU